UUAGCAGAGAUGCUUUGGUGCCUUCGGGAACUCUGAGACAGGUGCUGCAUGGCUGUCGUCAGCUCGUGUUGUGAAAUGUUGGGUUAAGUCCCGCAACGAGCGCAACCCUUAUCCUUUGUUGCCAGCGGCUCGGCCGGGAACUCAAAGGAGACUGCCGGUGAUAAACCGGAGGAAGGUGGGGAUGACGUCAAGUCAUCAUGGCCCUUACGGCCAGGGCUACACACGUGCUACAAUGGCGCAUACAAAGAGAAGCGACCUCGCGAGAGCAAGCGGACCUCACAAAGUGCGUCGUAGUCCGGAUUGGAGUCUGCAACUCGACUCCAUGAAGUCGGAAUCGCUAGUAAUCGUAGAUCAGAAUGCUACGGUGAAUACGUUCCCGGGCCUUGUACACACCGCCCGUCACACCAUGGGAGUGGGUUGCAAAAGAAGUAGGUAGCUUAACCUUCGGGAGGGCGCUUACCACUUUGUGAUUCAUGACUGGGGUGAAGUCGUAACAAGGUAAGCGUAGCGAG
rnacentral:rRNA from 1 species